CUGCAGAAGAAAAGUCUGCUCGAAAAUAUAGCCAAAAGAAUCUCCUUCAAAUGUUUAGAUUGCCCCUUUUUAUUGUUGGAGCCUUAAGGAAACCUCUAUUUUCUUGUUUUCCUUUUAGUCCCUUAUUAAAAUUUCAGUUAUACCUAAAUAGUCCUUGAUUUUCUGACUCGUGCCUCAAGUUUGAGGCUAAAAUUAUGCCUAGUUCCCUCACUAGAAUGUUCUUGGGGUUGUUACAAGAUUCUUUCAGGCUCAAAUACCCUCUAUACCCAUGUUUCCUUUCCUAGUUAACUAACCUAAGGUUUUGUUUACCCUUGGUUCCAUUUGGUUUGGUCGAACCUAACCCUGGUCAAUUGUAUUCAAGUUAUGGGCCAAAAUUUGGUCUGGAUUUCAGGCUUAAUCAAAAAUUUAAGAAUUAGCCAAUACAACACAAAUUUUAAACAAGUAUCCUAAUGUGGACUUUUCAGCAACAAUUUUCUUUCAAGAGUAUAUGAAUGUUCAGUGCAUUUUUUGUCAAAACCAAUGAAUUAAAGUUACCAGAAAAAGAAACCCAUCAACUGAUGCUUAACUUAUAGAAAUAAUCUAAUUAAAACACUCAUUAAAACUUGAAAGUGAGAAAUGAAUAACAGGGAUUGAACACUCAGUAUAUACAAG
rnacentral:lncRNA from 1 species